GACCUUUCUUGACACCACAGUGAAAAUAAGUGAUGGUCGCAUUAACACCAUCCUAUACUGAAAACCUACCAACUGCUAUGCUACCUUCAUGCCUCCAGCUUCCAUCCCAGGCACACAACACGAUCCAUUGUCUACAGCCAAGCACUGAGG